UACGUAGGGGGGCUAGCGUUGUCCGGAUUUACUGGGCGUAAAGAGCGCGCAGGCGGUCGUUCAAGUCGAGUGUGAAAGCCCCCGGCUCAACUGGGGAGGGUCACUCGAUACUGAUCGACUUGAAGGCAGGAGAGGGUAGUGGAAUUCCCGGUGUAGUGGUGAAAUGCGUAGAUAUCGGGAGGAACACCAGUGGCGAAGGCGACUACCUGGCCUGUUCUUGACGCUGAGGCGCGAAAGCUAGGGGAGCAAACGGG
rnacentral:rRNA from 1 species